rnacentral:rRNA from 1 species
AACCCAGGUGAAGGGAGAUCCGGAAAGGCAAAUCCGCCGGAUCGUCUGCCAGGAAAAUCCUCUAAGGAGAGUUAGGUGACUGUACCACAAACGGACACACGUGGACGAGAUGAGUAUUCUCAGGCGCUCGGGUGAUGAGUUGUUAAGGAACUAGGCAAAUUAACCCCGUAACUUCGGGAGAAGGGGUGCCCAUGCAAAUGGGCCGCAGUGAAUAGCGUCAGGCGACUGUUUAACAAAAACACAGGUCUCUGCUAAGUCGAAAACGAUGUAUAGGGGCUGACGCCUGCCCGGUGCCGGAAGGUUAAAGGGAGUGGUUAGCGCAAGCGAAGCUACGAACUGAAGCCCCGGUGAACGGCGGCCGUAACUAUAACGGUCCUAAGGUAGAAAAUUCCUUGUCGGGUAAGUUCCGACCUGCACGAAUGGCGUAACGAUCUGACGACUGUCUCAACAACUCGCCCGGCGAAUUUGUGGUUCCGGUGAAGACGCCGGAUGCCCGCCACAAGACGGAAAGACCCCGUGCACCUUUACUAUACCCUAUCAGUGAAUUAUGGGUUGGACUGCGCAGGAUAGGUGGGAGGCUUUGAGAUCGGGUUUUUGGACUCGAUGGAGCCAACGGUGAGAUACCACCCUGUGUAAUCUGUGAUUCUAACCUGCUUCCAUGAUCUGGAAGAGGGACACUGGUAGGCGGGUAGUUUGACUGGGGCGGUCGCCUCCUAAAUUGUAACGGAGGCGCUCGAAGCUGCGUUCAGGUGGUUUGGAAAUCCACCGACGAGUGCAAAGGCAUAAACGCGGUUAACUGCGAGACCUACAAGUCAAGCAGGUGGGAAACCAGGACUUAGUGAUCCGGUGGUUCUGUAUGGAAGGGCCAUCGCUCAACGGAUAAAAGGUACGCCGGGGAUAACAGGCUGAUCGGAGUCAAGAGUUCACAUCGACGCUCCGGUUUGGCACCUCGAUGUCGGUUCAUCGCAUCCCGGGGGUGUAGAAGCUCCCAAGGGUUAGGCUGUUCGCCUAUUAAAGCGGUACGUGAACUGGGUUCAGAACGUCGCGAGACAGUUCGGUCCCUAUCUGUGGUGGGCGCAGGAAAUUUGAGGGGGCUUGGCCUUAGUACGAGAGGACCGGGCUGAACGAACCUCUUGUGAUACAGUUGUCACUCCAGUGGCACAGCUGUGUAGCGAAGUUCGGUUAGGAUAAGCGCUGAAUGCAUAUAAGUGCGAAACCUUCCCCAAGAUGAGAUUUCCCAACCGUAAGGUAAUAAGGGCCGUGGAAGACUACCACGUUGAUAGGACGGGUGUGUAAGAGUAGUAAUACUUUGAGCUAACCGUUACUAAUAGCCCGUUCGGCUUGACCAU